rnacentral:rRNA from 1 species
UCUGCUGAGGGUAGCCCUACUUCGCCUCGAUUU